rnacentral:rRNA from 1 species
CCUACGGGGAGCAGCAGUGAGGAAUAUUGGUCAAUGGACGAGAGUCUGAACCAGCCAAGUAGCGUGAAGGAUGACUGCCCUAUGGGUUGUAAACUUCUUUUAUAUGGGAAUAAACUGUUCCACGUGUGGGAUUUUGUAUGUACCCUAUGAAUAAGGAUCGGCUAACUCCGUGCCAGCAGCCGCGGUAAUAUGGCGGAUCCGAGCGUUAUCCGGAUUUAUUGGGUUUAAAGGGAGCGUAGGUGGAUUGUUAAGUCAGUUGUGAAAGUUUGCGGCUCAACCGUAAAAUUGCAGUUGAAACUGGCAGUCUUGAGGACAGUAGAGGUGGGCGGAAUUCGUGGUGUAGCGGUGAAAUGCUUAGAUAUCACGAAGAACUCCGAUUGCGAAGGCAGUUCACUGGACUGCAACUGACACUGAGGCUCGAAAGUGUGGGUAUCAAACAGGAUUAGAUACCCUUGUAGUC